UGGGGAAUAUUGCACAAUGGGCGCAAGCCUGAUGCAGCGACGCCGCGUGGGGGAUGACGGCCUUCGGGUUGUAAACUCCUUUCGCUAGGGACGAAGCUUUUUGUGACGGUACCUAGAUAAGAAGCACCGGCUAACUACGUGCCAGCAGCCGCGGUAAUACGUAGGGUGCGAGCGUUGUCCGGAAUUACUGGGCGUAAAGGGCUCGUAGGUGGUUUGUCGCGUCGACUGUGAAAUUCCGGGGCUUAACUCCGGGCGUGCAGGCGAUACGGGCAUAACUUGAGUACUGUAGGGGUAACUGGAAUUCCUGGUGUAGCGGUGAAAUGCGCAGAUAUCAGGAGGAACACCGAUGGCGAAGGCAGGUUACUGGGCAGUUACUGACGCUGAGGAGCGAAAGCAUGGGUAGCGAACAGG
rnacentral:rRNA from 1 species